GCAAGUCGAACGGUAACGCGGACUUCGUUCUGUCGACGAGUGGCGAACGGGUGAGUAAUGCAUCGGAACGUAUCCAAUUGUGGGGGAUAGCCCGGCGAAAGCCGGAUUAAUACCGCAUAAUCUCCGAGGAGGAAAGUGGGGGACCGUCGGGCCUUACGCUGAUGGAGCGGCUGGUGUCGGAUCAGCUUGUUGGUAGGGUAAAGGCCUACCAAGACGACGAUCCGUAGCUGGUCUGAGAGGACGACC
rnacentral:rRNA from 1 species